GACGAACCGUGCGAACGUUGUUCGGAAUCACUGGGCUUAAAGGGCGCGUAGGCGGGUGCGCAAGUCGGGGGUGAAAUCUUUCAGCUUAACUGGAAAAGUGCCUCCGAUACUGCGCGUCUCGAGGGAGGUAGGGGCAUGUGGAACUUCCGGUGGAGCGGUGAAAUGCGUAGAUAUCGAGAGGAACACCGGUGGCGAAGGCGGCGUUCUGGACUGUAACUGACACUGAUGAACGAAAGCCAGGGGAGCAAACGGG
rnacentral:rRNA from 1 species